GAGUCACGGGUCAUGAACUGUCUGGCUCAGUCACCGGGCGCAGAGACAAUGGUCUUGCCCCCAGGUGAGGAUUAGGCUCAGACGCUUACGCUCCUCUCCGCACGUAGCCAGGUCAGAUCAUGCAUCACAUGAUGAUCUCCCUCGACCUCCCGGCCUCGGGCUCUCCCGGAACUCCCUCGUCCUCCCUCCUACACUCUAUAGAAUAACAAUAAAAGGUGCCAGGAACCAGCACGCUGAGACUCUCGCCAGGAACACGGACCCUCCGGCUCCCCGCUGCUGGCGAUCUCCCACCAGGAUGUUAA